rnacentral:rRNA from 1 species
GACGAACGCUGGCGGCGUGCUUAACACAUGCAAGUCGAACGGAAAGGCCCGGCUUUGGUGGGGUGCUCAAGGGGCAAACGGGUGAGUAACACGGGAGUAACCUGCCCUUGACUUUGGGAUAACUUCAGAAAACGGGGGCUAAUACCGGAUAGGAGCUCCUGCUGCAGGGUGGGGGUGGGAAAGUUUCGGCGGUUGGGGAUGGACUCGCGGCUUAUCAGCUUGUUGGUGGGGUAGUGGCUUACCAAGGCUUUGACGGGUAGCCGGCCUGAGAGGGUGACCGGCCACAUUGGGACUGAGAUACGGCCCAGACUCCUACGGGAGGCAGCAGUGGGGAAUAUUGCACAAUGGGCGGAAGCCUGAUGCAGCAACGCCGCGUGCGGGAUGACGGCCUUCGGGUUGUAAACCGCUUUCGCCUGUGACGAAGCGUGAGUGACGGUAAUGGGUAAAGAAGCACCGGCUAACUACGUG